rnacentral:lncRNA from 1 species
CCCGCCCUCCCUCGAGGGAGCGCGCUUUGAGGGAGACGGCUCCACCCAGUGCGUGUCGGGGGCGGGGCGAGACGGGGGCCGCGUCCUACUUGCUUCUGGGUCCUAGCGCGGGCACGCAGUCGCCACCCUAACUACGAGAGCGUGUCUUGGGGAAAAGCGCGAUGCUUUUUGCCCUGCGGCGUCAGUGACCGUAAGCAGCCUUCGGAGCGACUGACCCACAGCUCUAAAGGACAGCUAGCGCCACUGUUGAGACAGAAAACUGAGGCUAUGCCUGGGAAACUGUGGAUGAGUUGGAGAGCAACCCCUCCAAAGCGUCCCAAGCACUUGGUGUUUUUCUGAGCCAAACUCCCUUCUUAGAGACUAAUUAGGAGGCACGAGCUGAGGCAGCUUCUCCAUCUGGAGCAUGAGAUGGUGAGGGGAAGCUCCAGGUCUCCCAGCAGAGGGAAAAUUGCCUGCUGGAACGCUGUUGAGAAGAAAUGUGGACUGUCUCCAGGUGUCACACAGGAGAUUUAAACCCUGGGCCAGAGAGAUGUUCAGUGAGAAAAGUGCUUACUACCAAGCCUGAUGGCUGAAUUUGAUCCCAGAAGCCAAAUGGUGGAAAGAGAGAACUGACUCCCACAAAUUGUCUUAUAACCUUCAUAUACGUGUGUUUGUGCAUGCAACAUACAAAAUAAAUAAAUGUUUAAAAUUAAAGAAUUAAAUAUUGGC